rnacentral:rRNA from 1 species
AUUGAACGCUGGCGGCAGGCCUAACACAUGCAAGUCGAACGGUAACAGGAAGCAGCUUGCUGCUUUGCUGACGAGUGGCGGACGGGGGAGUAAUGUCUGGGAAACUGCCCGAUGGAGGGGGAUAACUACUGGAAACGGUAGCUAAUACCGCCUAACGUCGCAAGACCAACGAGGGGGACCUUAGGGCCUCUUGCCAUCGGAUGUGCCCAGAUGGGAUUAGCUAGUAGGUGGGGUAACGGCUCACCUAGGCGACGAUCCCUAGCUGGUCUGAGAGGAUGACCAGGCACACUGGAACUGAGACACGGUCCAGACUCCUACGGGAGGCAGCAAUGGGGAAUAUUGCGCAAUAGGUGCAAGCCUGAUGCAGCCCUGCCGCGUGUGUGAAGAAGGCCUUCCGGUUGUAAAGCACUUUCAGCGGGGAGGAAGGGAGUAAAGUUAAUACCUUGUCUCAUUGACGUUACCCGUAGAAUAAGCACCGGCUAACUCCGUG